CGUGACUUUACCGAAAGAGCUAAGAAUAUGGAUUACUGCAGUCACAAAAGCUUUAAAUAAAAAAUCAUUGUCUUCCCUUCCGCGGUCGCGUCAUCCGUCGAUUUAGACCGGACGACGUCACGUCUGUCUUGUUCGUGUAACAACACGAUUGAGGAGUGGUGACGUCCCCUGGGUCUCUUGACGUCCACCUCCGCACCGUCAACCGUCGUGCCAGUGACAUCAUCCACUCCCUACUCUGCGGUGACGUCAAUCAUUGAGCCGGUUGCCACAGGUGACGUCAUUACAAGCGAGAGCGGCUCCCGCUCUGCGUGACGUCAUUUCCGGCGGCGUCUCGCUCGCUGCGUCCGUCCGAGCUGCGAGAGGAGCCGGGAACGAAACGUCGAAGACGCCGUGGGGUGGCGUCUUGACGGACCGCGUUCAGCUGCGUGCCGACGCCGACACCGCCGACACCGUCACCGCCACACCGUCACCGCCACACCGUCACCGCCGACACCGUCACCGCCACACCGUCACCGCC